rnacentral:lncRNA from 1 species
GGGUGUGAAAGUGUAAUUUUUGGAAUUUUCAACUGAAUGGUAAAAAUGAAAUGGUAAAUUGGUUAAAACCAAUUAAGGGUAAAAUGGGAAUUUUUAAAUUUUUGUAGGGGUAUGGGAUUAAUCGUAGGGGUACAAGGUAAAAUUUUCCAAAAGAGAUGGGAAGUCUUCAUCGUGGAAUCACACAAGCUCUUUCUUUCUUAAACCUCUCUCUCCCCAAAGCGAAAUCCGAUUAUUCCUCCGCCGCACCGAAAAUAUCCUCCGGCGGCGGCUGAGUCUGAAAUGACCCCAACCUUCCAUGAAAACCAUAGUCUCUACCUCCUAUCUCCCAAUCCAUAGUUGCCUUUCUCUAAUUCUAUCCACAGAACUCAAAUCAAAGACCAAAAUGUACGAACCCUAAAUCUUCAAAUCCAAAUUAAAUGCAAGUGAUACCUAAUAUGGAACUUAAAACUUAGGGUUAUAUAUCCUUUAUGCUAAUGAUAUCCUCUAGUAACGAGAAUUGGACAAAACAAGAAAGUUUGAAGGGGAUGAACCAAACUUCGAAGCGGUGAGUUGCUCCGAUCAAGAUUGCAAGACUUGAAGGAGAAGAUAAUAAGAAAACCAGAGAUGCUUCGAAUGAGGUAAGAAAUCGAACUCCAAACUCCACAUUUCUAUCUUUUUAUACUCCUUCUUCUAUGUAUAACCUGUAGGAGAAUUCACGUGACCCUGCAUUGUUCUUGUUAUUGUGUUCUUGUUUGAGAUUGAUGAGAGUUGAGAGGUGAGUGAUGAGGAGAUUCAGAUGGUGCAGUGAGAUUGAGAAUGAGUUUGCAGUGAGAGAGAUUCAAUUCUGAGGUGAGGAUUGUGAGGUUUUAUGCUAAUGAUUGGUGAUCCCUGCAAAUGAUUGGGGAGUGAUGGUUUUAUAGAGAUUUGAAAUUUAACAGAGUUCAAAUCUGUAAGAUCUCCCAAGUGAAAAUUGGUUGCAAGUUAUCAAACUGUUAACAAUUCAGUUAGAGUUAGUUUAGUUUUGUAAUCUGUUAACUCUGCUAGUUAGUUAGGAAUGGAUCUGUUUAGGGUUAGUCUAUUAGAUUUUAUAGAAUGAGUUAGUUAGAUGUUAACCGGUGUUGAAAAUUUUGUUAGUUUAAUGUUAGCUCUAUUAAAUUGGUUAGUAAAUGUGAGUAGUUCAGUUAGUUUGUGUUGGUGAACUCGGUUUUUGUGAGUUGUUAUUGAAAUUCAGUUGUGUUCAAAGGGAAGAAAAUGUUAAUAUGUUAAAAUUUUGUUGUGAAUUUAUUAUGUCAGUAAAUGUUAUGAAGGUUUGUUAUAGUAUGUUGAACUUGGUUAAAUCAGUUAAUUACUAUUAGAAUAUUCAAAGCUAGUUGGUUAAAAAUUAUAAAACUUGGUUAAUCUAAUUUGAUGUCAAAAGUUGUUAUGUGUUCAUGAAGUGUGUUAAAACUCUGUUAGUAAAAAUUGAAAUUAUGAUCUAUCACAAAUAGGUUUUAAGAACAUUAUGAGAACAUGAACUUGGUUAGUAGAUUUACAACUUAGUGAAAGUUAGUUGCAAAAGUUUGGCUAAAUUGGAUGGAACUUGAUGCUAUGUUGAAAUUUGAAUGAUUGUUAGUGAAGACAUAGUUAUUUUAGGAGGACUUCUUAACAUAGGAAAGAUGAAUUGUUAGUUAAACCCUAUUUAGUUAGUGUGAUGUUAGUAUUAAAAUCAAUGCAAUUAUUUGAACACGAUAAAGGCUAAGCCUUGAAUGAUUGUUAGUGUAGUAUUUGAGGUUAUGUUUAAUGGGAUGCUUAUUAGAAUUGGUGAAUAUGUUUGAAUUAGAAAUGAUAUGAAAUUAAUGGAAUGUUAUAGCCUUAGUGUGAUUGUUUGGUUUGGUAUUUGAUUAAAACUUGGUGAAUGCUAAUGAUGCUUUGAUUUUGUUCUUGUAGGCACGAGUGGGUAUGGAUUGAGGGUUUAAUCAAGGAUUGAACCUUUGAUGAAAAGAAACAAAAACCAUGAAGAACAAUGAAGAACCCGACUAUGGGUGACUUGAGGAGAAAGUUGUAACUAGAAUUAAGGCUAGUAGAGUUGAUUUUGGUCAAUUGGUUGACCAAAAAGUCAACAAUUGACCAAAGUCAACUGUAUGUCCAAGUUGCAUUAUUUUUUGUGGAGGUUUAGAAUUUGUGGAAUGAUGUAAUGAUUUGUAAAUGGAUGAUGGAUGACUUUGUAAUGAAAAAUGAACUUAUGUAUUUUGACCUUUAAUGAAUUCUUCCUCCAAAUUAUGACCUAUGAAUUAAACUUAUGCAGACAACUUGAAUCUUGCCCUUUGAAUCAACUUUGAAUAUGAACUAGCAAGGUCCUUCUUGAAUGAACUUUGAGUAUCAAUACCUUGAAUUAAAUCCAAUCCCAAACCCUUAAAGGACAAAAUAUAUGACCACUGAAAACCACUACAAACCUCCAUAAAUGGUCACAAACCCUUG